rnacentral:rRNA from 1 species
UGAGGAAUAUUGGUCAAUGGACGAGAGUCUGAACCAGCCAAGUAGCGUGCAGGAUGACGGCCCUAUGGGUUGUAAACUGCUUUUGUUUGGGAAUAAUCGACAUUACGUGUAAUGUUUUGCAUGUACCAUUCGAAUAAGGAACGGCUAAUUCCGUGCCAGCAGCCGCGGUAAUACGGAAGGUCCAGGCGUUAUCCGGAUUUAUUGGGUUUAAAGGGAGUGUAGGCGGUUGGUUAAGCGUGUUGUGAAAUGUAGAUGCUCAACAUCUGACUUGCAGCGCGAACUGGCUGACUUGAGUACACACAACGUAGGCGGAAUUCAUGGUGUAGCGGUGAAAUGCUUAGAUAUCAUGAAGAACUCCGAUUGCGAAGGCAGCUUACGGGAGCGCAACUGACGCUGAAGCUCGAAGGUGCGGGUAUCGAACAGG